rnacentral:lncRNA from 1 species
AUUUUUUUAUAAAACCUUUUAAGGACCGCUCUCAUAUAAUAUAUAGGAAUUUGUAAUCUAGAAAUCGUACCUUGAAAAUCCGAGUUGGCUUUUUCCGCUGAAGUGAUUUAGGCUCCUAGAUCACGAUCUGCCACCACCACUCCUGUUAGAUCACGAUUCGUCACCACCACGCUUGUUAGAUCACGAACUGUCACCAAUGAUCUUCUAGGUUAUGACUCAAGUUCGAUCUGCACUUGACGUGUGUGCGCCUUUAUCACUACCAAAGCAACUAGCACGAGAAAAUUUUUCUCUCAACAAUAGAGAGAAAAAUCUUUUUCUCUGAUCUGUAUAAAGUGGCUUCCCAUUUUUUUCUUUAGAGAAAAUAAGCCUUUUAUAUCUCCCUUUAAUGAAAACCCUAGGCUCCAAAUAAUAAAAAAACCAAACUCACGUUACUUGCUUUUUCUAUAGGGGACCCACUAUGUAAAAUAUCAUAAGACCCCUUACACAUAGCUAAUUAAAUGGAGCCUCCCACUAAAUGAUAUAAUUAGGCUUUUGACCCAAAUAGCUAGUUAUCUUGUUUAUUAAUCCAGUAAUGGUGCAAUCAAUUAAAUGAGCUAAACCGAGGAUCAUUUGGGAACAUACAAUAGUGGCUACAAUAAUUAGGCCCGUAAUUAAACUAGCCCAAUUAUUUAAUUCCAAAUCUACUCCACUAAAAGAUUGGAACUGACUUCCAUAAUUGUAUGCUCGAAUAAUAAUUCGUCUCAAGCCACAUUGAUUUCUUUACUGCACAUUCCUUUGUACCACAUCAUUAAUUAAAUCGAUAUCUCAACUGUCCAAUCAAUUUAAUUGCAUCUUGUUCCUUGAUACUUACUGGUUUUCUCUAAUGAUCAUUUUCAACAUACUAAAUAUGUUGACACACUCUGGCCAGAGAAUUCUAUGAUCAAGUGCCGAAAACCCAUCAAGAGGUGUGUUGUACAAAUUCUAUAUUGUUAAUCCAUAACUCCAAUACUUAUAAUUGCUCCCACCAAGAUACCGGGUAAUAUUGACCAUAAGUAUGUGUCGUGCCCAUUGGUAACUCAAAUGGAAUAACAAUUACAAUCAUGAAAUCAUAACUAACUCAAGAUUAAGAUUAUAGUAAAAUCAAUGCCUAUGAGAUUUAAUAAGUCUGACAGUCAUUUCAAGGUUAAUUAAAUCUCAUAUGUAAUCAUGUUCAAUGUAGUCGUACUACAUCAAUAAAUUCAUACAUGAUUAAGACAAAUCAUUCAAUGAAUUUAUUACAGUCUAUACCUAAAUAAAGUGUCCAACUUUAUUUAUCAACUGCGAACUAAAUUUAUUUAAUCAUAAGAUAACUUGUAUUUAUGUCUUCUGUGAAUCCACAUGGUGAUCACAUAAAUACAUAUAAUAUGAUUAAAUGGACUUUAAUAAAAAUAUUAAUGCAAUUAAGAUAUUUGAAUAAAAUACCUCAUUAAUUUUAUUAAUCAGAAAAAAUGUUUAUUAUAAUUAAAUAAACACAUAUGCUUUUAAAGAGCAUAUUUUCCCAACAAUCUCCCACUAGCUCUCAAAGCAUAUUUGGCAUCUCACGCAUGCCCAUGGAUUCUAAGUGCAAGUUAAAAGAUUUCCCAGGUAUGGCCUUAGUAAAAGGAUCUGCCAAGUUUUGCUAUGACGCAAUCUGAGUAACCUCCACAUCACCUCUCUGCACUAUAUCCCUUAUAAGAUGAUACUUCCUCUCAAUAUGUUUUUGUUUCUUGUGGUUCCUUGGUUCCUUAGAUUGAGCUACCGCACCACUAUUAUCGCAAAAUAGUUUAAGGGGUAUAGUUACAGUAGGUACCACCUCAAGAUCUUGUAGGAACUUGCGGAGCCAUACAGCUUCUUUUGCAGCUUCGGAUGCAGUCACAUAUUCAGCUUCAAUUGUGGAGUCUGCGAUACAAGAUUGUUUCACACUCCUCCAACUAAUAGCUCCACUUCCUAAUGUAAACACAUAGCCGGAAGUUGAUUUUCUGGAAUCCUUAUCUGACAUAAAGUCAGAAUCAGUAUAACCCACUAGAAUGAGUUCAUCACCAGAAUACACAAGCAUAUAAUUUUUAGUUCUUUUCAGAUACUUCAUUAUAUGCUUGACCGCAGUCCAGUGUUCAGGUCCAGGAUUAGAUUGAUAUCUACUAACCAUCCCUACCGCAAAACAGAUGUCUGGCCUAGUGCAAAGCAUGGCAUACAUGAGACUUCCCACAGCUUCUGCAUAGGGAACUCGUCUCAUUCUCUCUAUCUCUUCAGAUGUUUUAGGUGAUUGAUCCUUUAGAGAAUGUAAUUCCAUGUCGGAAUGGUAAUAAACCAAUCUUGGAAUUUUCCAUGGUAAAUCUAGUCAAUAUCAUAUCGAUACAGACCGCUUGAGACAAUGCUAAAGUUUUAUUCUUCCGGUCUCGUAGUAACUUGAUACCAAGAAUAUAACUUGCCUCUCUCAGGUCUUUCAUAUCAAAUUAUUUUACUAACCAACUCUUUAUUGUAGUCAAUACCCCUCUAUCGUUUCCUAUUAGGAGAAUAUCGUCUACAUAAAGAAUUAGGAAGGCUACAAAUUUUUCUUGAAUUUUCUUGUACACACAUGGUUCAUCAAUGUUCUGAAUGAAUCCAAACGAUUUAAUCGCUUGAUCAAAUCUGAUGCUCCAUGAUCGGGAUGCUUGCUUCAAUCCAUAAAUGGAUCUCUGCAACUUACAUACCAUGUGUUCUUGGUCUUUUUGUAUAAAUCCAUCUGGUUGCUGCAUGUAGAUGUUUUCUUUAAGAUGCCUAUUAAGAAAGGCAAUCUUGACAUCCAUUUGCCAAAUUUCAUAAUCUAGCACUGCAGCAAUGGAGAGCAGAAUCCUGAUGGAUUUAAGCAUAGCAACCGGAGAAAAGGUUUCCUCAUAAUCGAUUCCCUCUUUAUGAGUAAACCAUUUGGCUACUAAUCUUGCUUUAAAUGUUUCCACCCUUCCGUCUACUCCUCUUUUUCUCUUGUAGAUCCACUUGCACCCUAUAGAUUUUACCCCAUUUGGUGCCUCUACAAGCUCCCAGACUUUAUUAGAAUACAUAGAUUCCAUUUCUUGAUUCAUGGUCUUUUUCCAAAAUUCAACAUCUCUAUCUAUUAGAGCUUCGUUGUAACUAGUGGGAUCUUGUACAUGUUCAUCUGAGAUAGCCGUAUAGGUUUCUCCUAAAAGCAUGUAUCUCGCAGGUAACCUAGUUACCCUCCCACUACAACGAGAUUCUAAAAGUGAUGGUUGUUCAGGGUUAAUCCUGUGUUGAUCAUCUGGUUGUUGCUGUUCUUCCUGUUCUGUAACAGGCGUUGAAAGCUGAGCAUCAACCUGAUCACCUGACAGUUUUUUAAGUAUUACCUUACUCUUAGGUUUGAAGUUAUUCAUAUAGUCUUCCUCGAGGGAAGUGAAAUGUGUGCUCACAAUCACUUUCCUAUCUUGAGGACUAUAAAAUAAACCUCCCCUUACUCCUUUGGGAUACCCCACAAACAUACAAACCUUAAAACGUGAAUCCAUUUUGUCUGCCUUUGGUUUCAGCACAUGUGCUAGUGAUCCCCAAAUACGGACAUGUCAUAAACUUGGUUUGCGACCUGACCAUAAUUCUAUUGGGGUUUUAGGCACUGACUUAGAUGGAACUAAGUUCAAGAGGUAAACUGCAGUUUUCAGUGCUAGUCCCCAAAAAGAUAUUGGUAAUGACGAAUAACUAAGCAUAGAUCUCACCAUAUCCAAAAGAGUUCUAUUUCUUCUUUCAGCUACCCCAUUUUGUUGUGGUGUUCUCGGGGUAGUCAACUGAGAUAUAAUCCCAUUUUCAACCAGAUACUCUUUGAAAUCUCCUGAGAGAAAUUCACCACCUCGAUCAGAUCGAAGUUUCUUUAUGUUCUUAUCUAAUUGCUUUUCUGUCUCAGCCCUAUACUCUUUGAAUUUCUCAAGAGCUUCAGACUUGUGACGCAUCAGAUAAACAUAACCGUAUCUCGAGUAAUCAUCAAUGAAAGUAAUGAAAUACUCAUAACCUCCUCGAGCUUGUACAUUGAUUGGUCCACAUACAUCUGUAUGCACCAAUUCAAGUUGUAUUGUUGCACGUACUCCUUUGGCCGAGAAUGGCUUUUUGGUCAUUUUCCCUUCUAAACAGGAUUCACAGAGUGGCAAUGAUUCAUUUUCUAAUGGACCCAAGAGCCCAUCUUUGAUCAUUCUCUGUAUCCUAUUUUGGUUUAUAUGACCCAAGCGUAAAUGCCAGAGGUAACAUUAGUUGGAAGAAAUAUUUCUUUUUUUAGAUAAAUGUAUAUGCUCAUCAUUAUUGAUCACUAUGUCAUGCAUAGAAUGGAUCAUUGGACUUAAAUGAUAUAAAUUAUCUUCCAAUGUACCAGAACAAAUAAGUCUCUUAUUAUGAAAAAUAGAAACAGAGGAUCCAAAUUUUACAGUGUACCCUUACUUUGACAAAUAAGCUACUGAAAUUAAAUUCCUCUUAAUGUCUGGAACAUAAAGACAAUUAUUCAAAACUAAAGUCUCAUUAUUAAAAGAUAAUAAAACAGAUCCAGUCUUCACUGCUGACACGAACUGUCCUAUCCCUAACUGCAGCUUGACGCUUCCUUUACUUAUUUUCCUGGUUUCCUGAAACCAAUAAAGUGAAUUACAAAUAUGAUUAGUUGCUCCUGAAUCCAACACCCAAGUGUCAAUAGGAUUCUGAACUAAAUAGGCCUCAAUUACAAAAAGAUUUCUCAUACCUGAUUUCAUAAUCUUAGGGCAAUCCUUUUUCCAGUGACCUUUCUGUCCACACUUAAAGCAUUUGCCUUUCGGCUUGCCAUCUUGCUUGGUAGACAGUUUCUUUUUCCCAGCUUUCUUCUUACCUUUGCCUUUUGGCUUAGGCCCAGAAGAUGAACUUUUUACAGUAAUAUUUAUGCUUCCCAGAGAUUUCUCAGCACGAUAGAUCUCUUCAGCAGAAUGGAGUUCGUUCAUCAAUUCAGUUAAGGUCAUGUUUCUUUUGUUCACGUUAUAAUUGACCUUAAACUCCUUGAAUGUUUCUGGCAGAGAUUCUAGCACCAUGUCAAUCUUUGAGUUAUCAUCGAUUUGUGCUCCCUGAAUCUUAGCCUCAUUCAAAUAGUCCAUCAUUUUGAGGACAUGAUCACGAACUCUUGUGCCCUUCCUCAUUUUACUGUUCAUAAUUCCUUUCAGCGCUGCUUGUCUCGCAGAGCGAGUACUCUGCCCGAACAUAUGUUGGAGACUAUCCAUUAUUUCAGUGGCAGUCUCCAAGUUCUGAUGUUUAGUCUGCAGAAUAUUAGAAAUCGAGACUAAAAUGUAGCACUUUGCCAUUUCGUUGGCCUUUUGCCAUUUCUCAUAAAGCCUCCUCUGAUUUCUAUGAGCAUCAUCCGCUGGAACUGGAGGGCAUGGCUGGGUUAAGACAUAUUUAUAAUUUUCAGCAGUCAGGACAAUGAAUAGAUUUCUUUUCCAAUCUAUAUAGUUCUCUCCAGUGAGUUUGUUUUGACUCAGAAUAAUAGUAAGUGGGCUCAGGGAAGACAUUUUCUGAAAAAUAAAACAUCCAUGCAUAAAUAAUUUGAAAUAAUAUUCACAAUAAAUGAUAAAAAUGCAUAAAACCAUAAAUGCAUUUUUAUUUAUUGUAACGAUAAUCUAGUUCCGCUUUGACAAGCUAUCCGGUAGGGAAGUCAUGUCUAUACUUACUAGACCCAAUUACCCAUUGGAUUAUUUACUUUCAUGUAGAGACAUGAUAAAUAAUUAUCGUUAUCCUUUUGGGGCCUAAAUUUGUUAACAGAGCUUCGUUGGGAAGGUUAAUAACAAAUUUUAGUUGAGUGUAUAACCAUUGUUUCAAUCUACGUAUUUUUCAUAUCAAUAGUCACCGUUAGGGUGAACAAUCGAUUGAAAAAUAUUUCAAUUUUAUCUUUGAAGAAGUUCAUGAAAUAAAAUAUCUAAUAUAUAUACUCUCCGAAGGGAGCAUCGCCGUAUCAUGAAAUCGAGGUAUAUAUAUAAUUUUAUUGUUGAACUAACAAUGGAGCCCGUGGAAAAAUUAUCUUGAAUUUUCACUCUCCCACUCAAUAUUUUAAAAUUGGUUUUUCCUUUUUAAAACAUACAUAUUGUUAAUUGUAUGCUUCCUAUAAUAUUAUCCAGAUGAUAUCAAAUAUUAUUAAGCAUACGCAAAUUUCAAACAAUAUAAUGAAAUUCAUUAUUAAUGAAUGACAUGUAUCAUUAUGCAUAGAGUGGCACUACCUAUUCUAUAUGAUAUGUUUUCAUAGCAUGUUAUCAUCCAAAACAUAACAUAUAGAAAAAUACUUAAAUAAUCUUAAUUCAUGGCUUUCCUAAUAAUGAAAAAUACAUUAACCCUAAGCCUAAUCUUCAUUGGGCUUAUUGUCAAUGUCCAUCUUCCAUAAGCUUGUUUUUGUUAAUGGACUAGGGGAAAUUGAGCUUUUAAAUUUAUAAUUGGUCCAAUUUUAAUUUUGAAAGGAAAUAAAUAAAUAAUUAAAUUUUUUUAUUAAAAUAAAAUUUUUGGACCAAAAUUAAAUUUAAUGUAUUUAAUUUUGUCUAUGCAUUUUAAUCCAUUAAGCCCAAUUGAAAUUGGGCCUAAAAUUAGGAUUCAUUAAACCCAAAACUGUUUUUGGAUUUUUAUAAAACCUUUUAAGGACCGCUCUCAUAUAAUAUAUAAGAAUUUGUAAUCUAGAAAUCGUACCUUGAAAAUCCGAGUUGGCUUUUUCCGCUAAAGUAAUUUAGGCUCCUAGAUCAUGAUCCGCCAUCACCACUCCUGUUAGAUCACGAUCCGCCAUCACCUCUCCUGUUAGAUCACGAUCCGCCACCACCACUCCUGUUAGAUCACGAUCCGCCACCACCACUCCUGUUAGAUCACGAUCCGUCACCACCACUCCUGUUAGAUCACGAUCCGUCACCACCACGCUUGUUAGAUCACGAACUGUCACCAAUGAUCUUCCAGGUUAUGACUCAAGUUCGAUCUGCACUUGACGUGUGGGCGCCUUUAUCACUACCAAAGCAACUAGCACGAGAAAAUUUUUCUCUCAACAAUAGAGAGAAAAAUCUUUUUCUCUGAUCUGUAUAAAGUGGCUUCCCAUUUUUUUCUUUAGAGAAAAUAAGCCUUUUAUAUCUCCCUUUAGUGAAAACACUAGGCUCCAAAUAAUUAAAAAACCAAACUCACGUUACUUGCUUUUUCUAUAGGGGACCCACCAUGUAAAAUAACAUAAGACCCCUUACACAUAAGCUAAUUAAAUGGAGCCUCCCACUAAAUGAUAUAAUUAGGCUUUUGACCCAAAUAGCUAGUUAUCUUACUUAUUAAUCCAGUAGUGGUGCAGUCAAUUAAAUGAGCUAACCCGGGGAUCAUUUGGGAAUAUACAAUACUGGCUACAAUAAUUAGGCCUGUAAUUAAACUAGCCCAAUUAUUUAAUUCCAAAUCUACUCCACUAAAAGAUUGGAACUAACUUCCAUAAUUGUAUGCUAGAAUAAUAAUUCGUCCCAAACCACAUUGAUUUCUUUACUGCACAUUCCUUUGUACCACAUCAUUAAUUAAAUCGAUAUCUCAACUGUUCAAUUAAUUUAAUUACAUCUUGUUCCUUGAUACUUACUGGUUUUCUCUAAUGAUCAUUUUCAACAUACUAAAUAUGUUGACACACUCUGGCCAGAGAAUUCUAUGAUCAAAUGCCGAAAACCCAUCAAGAUUAAGAUUACAUAACUCCAAUACUCAUAAUUACUCCCACCAAUAUACCGGGUAAUCUUGACCAUAAGUAUGUGUCGUGCUCAUUGGUAACUCAAAUGGAAUAACAAUUACAAUCAUGAAAUCAUAACUAACUCAAGAUUAAGAUUACAGUAAAAUCAAUGCCUAUGAGAUUCAAUAAGUCUGACAGUCAUUUCAAGGUUAAUUAAAUCUCAUAUGUAAUCAUGUUCAAUGUAGUCGUACUACAUCAAUAAAUUCAUACAUGAUUAAGACAAAUCAUUCAAUGAAUUUAUUACAGUCUAUACCUAAAUAAAGUGUCCAACUUUAUUUAUCAACUGCGAACUAAAUUUAUUUAAUCAUAAGAUAACUUGUAUUUAUGUCUUCUGUGAAUCCACAUGGCGAUCACAUAAAUACAUAUAAUAUGAUUAAAUAGACUUUAAUAAAAAUAUUAAUGCAAUUAAGAUAUUUGAAUAAAAUACCUAUUAAUUUUAUUAAUCAGAAAAAAUGUUUAUUACAAUUAAAUAAACACAUAUGCUUUUAAAGAGCAUAUUUUCCCAACAUAAAGUUCAUAUUUUCAAACUCAAUUUCAUUAAAGUAAAAUUUAAAAAUCAUGAAAUUAGAAAAUAUACAUAUGUAUAAAAUCCAAAAGUUUUUAAGUUCGAAUUAAUAUAACCCCGCCUGGUGUUAGGCUUUUUAAGUUUGGUCUGGGUCUUCGAUGUAAGAAGCCGAAUUAAGGGCAUAGAGUUUCGUUGUAAACUUAAUUCUUAGCUCAUAGAAUUCUUAGCUCACUCUAUGCCAAAUUAAGGGCAUAGAGUUUCAUUGUAAACUUAAUUCUUAGUUCACGGAAAUAAGGAAAACGAAAUCUAAAGGGCUAUUUAUUUUUUUGACUUAAUGACUUAAUUGACUUAAUUUUAAUCAGUUAAGUCAUUAAGUCUGUUUGUUUUUUCAACUUCAUAAACAUUUUCAGUAAUUAAGUCAUCAAGUUAUUAAGCUAAUUUUUUUAGCUUUUUACUUAAUCUAAAAAAGUUUGGAUGCUAUCAUUAAAAGAUAUUUUCUAAAAUAUCCCUAUUUAAUUAAUUAAUUUUCAUUCUUAGCUAAAUAAAGGUUAAUAAUUAGUAUUAUUGCCCAUCUGUAUAUAACUUGUGAUAAUAUAUAUUGGUAGACU